CAUAAAUGCUUAAUAAGUUCACAUGCAAAUAGCAAGUAACAUAACCAUAUAAGCAAACAUAAAACAUCAUUUGCAUAAUCAUCACCAAGACAUUCAUAUCACAUUUUCAUUUAUCAUUUUACCAUAUUGUUGUUAUAUCGAUUUUUCAACCCGAGGGUUAAGUACAUACCUGUUCAAAGUACCCAUUUCACAACACUUAACAAUACAUCCCUUUUAUCUUGAGUAUUCCUCCAUUUCAGUAGAACUUUACCC
rnacentral:lncRNA from 1 species